AGUGAACGCUGGCGGUAGACCUAACACAUGCAAGUCGAACGGCAGCACAGUAAGAGCUUGCUCUUACGGGUGGCGAGUGGCGGACGGGUGAGGAAUACAUCGGAAUCUACUUUUUCGUGGGGGAUAACGUAGGGAAACUUACGCUAAUACCGCAUACGACCUACGGGUGAAAGCAGGGGAUCUUCGGACCUUGCGCGAUUGAAUGAGCCGAUGUCGGAUUAGCUAGUUGGCGGGGUAAAGGCCCACCAAGGCGACGAUCCGUAGCUGGUCUGAGAGGAUGAUCAGCCACACUGGAACUGAGACACGGUCCAGACUCCUACGGGAGGCAGCAGUGGGGAAUAUUGGACAAUGGGCGCAAGCCUGAUCCAGCCAUACCGCGUGGGUGAAGAAGGCCUUCGGGUUGUAAAGCCCUUUUGUUGGGAAAGAAAAACAGCAGGUUAAUACCCCGCUGUUCUGACGGUACCCAAAGAAUAAGCACCGGCUAACUUCGUG
rnacentral:rRNA from 1 species